rnacentral:rRNA from 1 species
GAUGAACGCUGGCGGCGUGCUUAACACAUGCAAGUCGAACGGAAAGGCCCAAGCUUGCUUGGGUACUCGAGUGGCGAACGGGUGAGUAACACGUGGGUGAUCUGCCCUGCACUUCGGGAUAAGCCUGGGAAACUGGGUCUAAUACCGGAUAGGACCACUUCUUGGAUGUUGUGGUGGAAAGUUUUUUCGGUGUGGGAUGAGCUCGCGGCCUAUCAGCUUGUUGGUGGGGUAAUGGCCCACCAAGGCGUCGACGGGUAGCCGGCCUGAGAGGGUGUACGGCCACAUUGGGACUGAGAUACGGCCCAGACUCCUACGGGAGGCAGCAGUGGGGAAUAUUGCACAAUGGGCGCAAGCCUGAUGCAGCGACGCCGCGGGGGGGAUGACGGCCUUCGGGUUGUAAACUCCUUUCGCUAGGGACGAAGCGUUUUGUGACGGUACCUGGAGAAGAAGCACCGGCUAACUACGUG